GAUGAACGCUAGCGGCAGGCCUAAUACAUGCAAGUCAAGGGGCCCAGCAAUGGGCACCGGCGCACGGGUGCGUAACGCGUGGGAACCUGCCUUUAGGUUCGGAAUAACAGUGAGAAAUUACUGCUAAUACCGGAUGAUGUCUUCGGACCAAAGAUUUAUCGCCUUUAGAUGGGCCCGCGUUGGAUUAGCUAGUUGGUGGGGUAAAGGCCUACCAAGGCGACGAUCCAUAGCUGGUCUGAGAGGAUGAUCAGCCACACUGGGACUGAGACACGACCCAGACUCCUACGGGAGGCAGCAGUGGGGAAUUUUGGACAAUGGGGGCAACCCUGAUCCAGCAAUGCCGCGUGAGUGAAGAAGGCCUUCGGGUUGUAAAGCUCUUUUGUCAGGGAAGAAACAGCAGCUCUAACACAGUCUGCGAAUGACGGUACCUGAAGAAUAAGCACCGGCUAACUACGUG
rnacentral:rRNA from 1 species